CGCGGGAAGAGCCACAGUCACUUGUCCACACCUUUCCUCUUCAUCCGGACUCAUAACUGCUAGUCUCUGUGCCGGAGUAUCUUUAUUAUCACUUCGGGCUCUCUUCUGGAAUGUUCUAGAAACAUCGGGAGAGAAGUCGCCGGUUCGUUCUGCGCUUUCUAUAUCAGCGAUUUCGUCAGGGUUUCUCUUAAAAUCAGAGUAGUUGUCGUCGUCGCUGUUACAGAGAUCGAUUACAGAGGUUUUGUUUCCGUUCCCAGCGGGUUUUGAAGCCGGGAUAGUAGCACUUGGUAGAUUCUCUUGCUUUACGCGAAUAUCCAUUGGGAAAAGGAGCAGCCGAAGAAAAACCGAAGAAGUUGAAGGAAAAGUUGCAGAAGCGAUGACGAAAGAAAAGAGAAACCAGACUGCAAAAAAAAAGAAAAAAAAAUUGGGGAAAGAGAAAAGUAGUUAAAAAGGUUUCCCCGCCUCUGUUGACUCCUACAUGAACUUGCAGCUUGGAAACACUGAAGAAUACAUCGAAGGACAGUUGAUAGGGAACCUUCGAGAGAUUUUGAUCAGGUACAUGCAUCUGCGGAUUUACAGUCUGAUAUAACAUUGUUGAUUAUUUCCGUAAACUUGUGGAAGGUCAACAAAUUGAGAGGCCAAUGGGGG